GCCCGGCAGUUAAGAUGCCGGAGGAGGACACGAAGCCCUUCGUUUCCCGCUCCGCUUGCCAUGGCCCUCACCAACCCUAAUCCCCUUCUCUCCAACCCCUUACCCCCGCCUCUCCUUCGCAUCCCCUCGCGUUGCUUCCUCCGUUGCCGCGCAGCUGCGGACGCCUCCUCGGACUGGUUCCGCCCCCGGGGCGACCCGCCCGAUGGAGGGAGAAUGUCUGCCCGGGACCCCGGGACUCGAAUUAACGCGACGGAGGAGAGCACGGACCAGAGCAGCAGCGGCAAUAAGAAGAAGAAGAAGAAAAGCAAGUGGUGGUGGUGGUCUCGGGACCGGGAGAGCUACUUGGCCAACGACUCCGACGCCCUGCCGUUGCCGAUGACCUACCCUGACUCUUCCCCGGUGUCACCGCAGGAGAUCGACCGCAGGCUCCAGUGUGAUCCCAGUAUCGAGGAUUGUAAGCCAGUGGUGUACGAGUGGACGGGGAAGUGUAGGAGUUGCCAGGGGACGGGGUUGGUGAGCUACUACAACAAAAGGGGGCGGGAGACGAUCUGCAAGUGCGUUCCCUGCCUUGGAAUAGAAGCCUAGGGACAACAGUUGAUCUGAAAGAGGUGUUGAUGGAGGCAGGGAGUUACAUUUUUUUUGGGUAACAGGAUAGGACGUAACAAUGGCCUAUUUGCAUGUUCGUGCAUUGAAGGGUGAAGGAUAUGUCCAGAAAAUAACGGUACGGGAGGACAUCAAUGUGAUGGAAGAUGUAGACAAUGGAAAACCACCUUAAUUCAUUCCUUCGACAAGUAAAUUCUGAUAAAUGAUACUUAAGAUUCCUUCAUAGAGCAGAUAUAGAAACAUUUUUCAAUUUUUGUUUAAUAUGGUUUUAGUGCCAUCUAUGCUCUGCAGCCAUAAAAUCACAGACUGUUUUUGGCAGUUUAGUGUGGACCAAAUGUUUUUUGAGGGUGCUAAGCUUGCAAGACAAGCCAAUAUUUAACAAAAUGUUUCAUCCACUUUAUGCUUUCCAAACAUUUGUGCAUUAAUAUGUAAGAGAAAAAACACUUAUUGUGUUGUGAGUAUUGCUGAAGAUUCAUAUUCUUGUCAAGUGUUCUGUCUUCUACCCCUUAUUUUUAAUCAGUGAUAGCCUAAAUAUGUUAUGCUAUUUGAGAGUGAAGGUAAAUGUCAUACCUUUGCCCAUGGAAUAUGAAUCUUGGAACCUUUUUUCUAACGAAUCUAUAGUUUGGCAGGGAAUUAUAUAUAGAUUUGUGCAUCCAAAUUCUGGUGAUGGCAUACACACCGCUGAUACUUCUGCUUCUGUUCCAUCUCCUGAUGUGAUAAGCGGAUGUCAGGACUCCACAUUCUUUAUUUUCAAUCUGACUAUCCAAGUUCAUUAGUUUGAAGCUGGUAAAGUGGUAAUCAGAUUACAGGCUUGAUGCUAUUUUUUGACCCCAAAUGUUAAGGAGAUGAUGCAGGAGUUCAACAAGUAUCAAACAAAAAAAAUCAGAUAGAAGUUGAAACUGAAAGCAAAACCAAGGUUGGGAGUGUGGCAAAUGAUGCAAGCUGCUGACUUAACAAAAAUAGCUUUAACAAGUUCGCAAAGCGGACUGAGAAAGGCUUUAAGGUCCUUGAUAUUGGAGACACUUUUUGGAUGUUCAAUCAAGUUUAUGAUGGCCGAAAUUGUUCAAAGGGACACAAAAAAGAUACCUUUCAAGGAUGCACCCUGAGAUGAGUGCCAAAAUAACACCAAAGGUAGACAAGAAUGGCAAUCGGCUGUCAUGAGCUCUUACAGCCGAGAUUAAGUUGACCUAAUAUAAGUUAUGAGUCAAAUUAAGCAGGAGCCCUUAGAAAUAGAGCCAGGAAUGACUUUUAUUCCAUGCAUGUUUUGUAUUGUUUUACAGCUAAUGCAAUUUCUAAAAUUAAUGCA